UGGAGCUUCGCCGGGAAGACCGUGGCUCGUGGGGUUCCAGGGACCCACCCGCAGUCUGAAUGCGAAACGAAUGCAAACUCAGGGCGCCAGCUCUUGGCUGGCUUCAGCGUGAGGCUCCAGAAGAGGGUCUGUCCAAUCUACAUACGACGAGAGGGCCCGAAAGGCGGCGGCCUGUUUGCGAGUCUCUGGGGAAACUGGUCCCUUGAGAUUAUAGGAUUGACUCGGGUUUCUCUGGCUCCGGAGUCCAGCUGACAGAUGAGGAAGCUGCCAAAGAAAAGUGACGCUAUCAGAGACGGGUUCGUGAGGUUGAAGGAAAGAAGCCGUCUCCACCACGUGAAAGUGCAGCGUGAAGCAGCAAGUGCUGAUGUAGACGCCGUAGAGCCCAAGAGAUCCAGCUCAGAGAAUUCACGAAGGUGGCUGUGUAAUAAGGAAGACCUUUGUAUUCUAUUACAAGUUAAUCACUAAAAGGAUGUUUCCCAGAAGCUUAAAUGAUACAUAAUGGCCCAUCUCUGGGAACCCUGCCCCCCAGGUAGUGAGCAUUCAGCUAAAAUACCUGCCGUUUAGCUCCCAGGAAACAUCCUGACCAAGCCCACCUGUGAAUGGCUGCAGGAAGGAAGAAAUUAGCCUGUCCCCUCUGGAGGCUGACUGAACCAGGACUUUACUCCCACCCCUUUCGGUAGAAAAGAAGUCUGAAUUCUAACUAGGGGAAGAUGGCUCCUUGGGACACGAGUCUACCAUCUUCUGAAGCCAGCCAGGAGCCUUGCUGCUUGUGGCCUGCAGGCCCCAGAUUGGGGAAUUUUCUGGUAAGGCCCGGGCAGCUGCUGGGACCACUUGUCCUGAGACUCCUUCAAAAUUCCCUGAAGCAGCACUGGCGGCCCCUUGGCAAAUGGCGCAGGGAAUUGGCAUCUGGGAGCCGACGGGCUCAGUACAGUAGG